rnacentral:miRNA from 1 species
UUCACCUCAUUGACUGGAAGGAAUCCCUUCUGGUUAAUGAGGUCCUUUCUAAUGAUAGAAUCUGCAGGAUCCUUGAAUGAUGUGGAGUGGUGGUUGGGUGAUCAGGGAUUCCUUCCAGUCAAUGAGAUCUUUUCACCUCAUUGAUCAGAAGGGAUUCCUUCCAAUCAAUUAGGUGCA